UACAGAGGUCUCAAGCGUUGUUCGGAUUCAUUGGGCGUAAAGGGUGCGUAGGCGGCGCGGUAAGUCGGGUGUGAAAUCUCGGGGCUUAACUCCGAAACUGCAUUCGAUACUGCCGGACUAGAGUUCGGAAGAGGCGAGUGGAAUUCCCGGUGUAGCGGUGAAAUGCGCAGAUAUCGGGAGGAACACCUAUGGCGAAGGCAGCUCGCUGGGACGUUACUGACGCUGAGACGCGAAAGCGUGGGGAGCAAACAGG
rnacentral:rRNA from 1 species